rnacentral:lncRNA from 1 species
GGUGGAGUAGUCUUAGGCGUGAGAGGAUAAGGUGAGGUACUGGCUUGGUGACGUCGGGAGAGAGUGCGAGGAAGAGGACCAAAAUGGCCGAUGCCCAGAACAGCAGCGGCUUCCAUUUCAAGAGCGGGGGGUGUCUGGAGAUGGGAGGCGUUUCGUUUGGGGGAUUGGGGUUGUGGACUGAACUCAUGGUGAGGUUGGAACGCGGAUUCGCAAUAGGAGGUGGAUAUAUGGGUUGUUUCUUACUUCUUCGGUAAGCUAAGGUAGCCGAAUGUUACAUGGCUUCCAUAUGGUAGCUACCUGAGAAUGAAUUGAGACAAGCGUAUGAUAAACAAAGAUGGUAUAGAGUUGUCAAAAACAGGGGUAUGGUUAAGUU